AUUAACUCAUACUCAUACAUGUCAAUACUAAUUUUUAUAUAAAAACAAAAUCCCAAUCCUGAUUUCUUGGACAGGUUAACUAAUAAAAGGUGUUUGGAAAUUGCUGCGGAAAUAACAUCAGAGUUUUUAAAUAAGGCAGUGAAACGAGUGAUGGUAGGUGGGCAAAGGUUGCGGAUGGCAAAGGCAAGUAAGUGAUGCUUUCAUGGAGAUGGUAGAUGCCUCAGGUUAUCCCUUUGCAAUGUUGGCUUCAGCAAAAGGGAUGGUGGAAGAACACCACCCCAACUUCAUCGGCACUUACUGGGGACCAGCAAGCACUCCCUUUUGUGCAGAAAUUGUGGAAUCUUCUGAUGCUUACCUUUUUGCUGGUCCAAUAUCCAAUGAUAUUAUCUCUUUAGGGAACUCGCUGCCCCUAAAAAAGGAGAGCUCAAUUGUUGUGCUGCCUGAUCGGGUAAUGAUUGGAAAUGGACCUACCAUUGGGUGUGUUUCAAUGAAGAACUUCUUUGAAGCACUUACAAAACGCCUUAAACGCAACACAACUGCUUUUGACAACUACCAAAGAAUACACGUCCCAGAUGGGCUUCCCAUUCACCCUAAUCCAAAUGAGGUGUCAAGGGUCAAUGUUUUAUUCAGACACAUACCAGAACAUGUUGUCCCGUGACACCACUGUGAUUGCUGAAACAGGAGACACAUGGUUUACAUGCCAGAAGUUGAAACUACCACAUGGCUGCGGGUAUGAGUGUCAGAUGCAGUACGGAUCAAUAGGUUGGUCAGUUGGUGCAACUCUUGGUUAUGCGCAGGCUGCUCCCCAUAAGAGAGUCAUUGCUUCCAGGUCAUUCAAUUUCACUGCUUGCAUUUAUCAUAUUUAAUUAUGUCACAAAAUUGAUUAAUUAUUGGAGAAUAUAAUUAAGGACCUUAGACAUUGGUAUUGUUAGAUUUCAUUUAAGUUUACUAGUAGAUAUAUAAUUUGCACUCUAGAAAUUUAGGCAGGAAAUGUGGACUUUCAAACACAUAUCAAGUAUAACUAUUUACUUUGGUCCUUGGAAACUGAUGAAUAACCAAUUCAUUAGUUGGAUACCAAAUUACCAAAAAUUGUUAAUAUAUAGUAAGUGAUUAAAAUUAAUGGCAUCAUCUAGCAGAUGACAGUACAGGAAGUGUCAACAAUGUUACGGUGUGGGCAGAAUGGCAUUGUCUUUCUAAUUAACAAUGGUGGAUACACUACAGAGGUAGAAAUCCAUGAUGGACUUUACAAUGUCAUAAAAAACUGGGACUAUGCUGGACUUGUGGAAAGAAUAGAUAAUGGUGAAGGCAAAUGCUGGACUGCCAAGGUCAGACAAUCUUAAAACACUUGGAAUUCAGAAACUUGUACAAAAUUCUAGCUCAACAGAAAUUAGACUUCAAUCUGCUAGAUGAUGCCCAACAUGCAAUGAGACUAGUUUCUGAUUAAAAUUCUGCAUUGCUUUGCUUCUAAUUUUGUCGUUUACUUGACCUUGCAUUCGGCUAGAAUCCACAAUUGGAAGUGGUCGUACGUGGCCCAAUAAGAAAUGGGCUUCAUUGUCCAGACGUAGCCCAACAUGCAAUGAGACUAGUUCAAAGAUGUGGUGAAGCCGCAUCUGAUUUUGGGCCUUUCAGGAACCCAUCCCAAAAUAGCUAACAUCUUUAUUCGGUUGCUUUGGUGCAAUAAUUCUGUAUUCUCGGAUGUACUGCUAUGCUUAUUUGGUGACCGUUUGUCACAAUCGGCAAUAUUUCCUUCCUUUCA